GCCCGUACCCCAAACCGACACAGGUGGACAGGUAGAGAAUACCAAGGCGAGCGAGUUAACCCUGGUUAAGGAAUUCGGCAAAUUGGCUCCGUAACUUCGGGAGAAGGAGCGCCCCGGUAAAGUGUAGGAGUUUUCCUCUGAAGCUUGAGGGGGCCGCAGUGACCAGGCCCAAACGACUGCUUACUAAAAGCACAGCAGCGUGCAAAGUCGCAAGACGACGUAUACGCUGUGACGCCUGCCCGGUGCCGGAAGGUUAAGAGGAGGUGUUAGCCCUCAGGCGAAGCUCUGAAUUGAAGCCCCGGUAAACGGCGGCCGUAACUAUAACGGUCCUAAGGUUGAAGUUCGCAGCCUUAGUAAAACUGAACCAUAUGCGGGAAACUCCUCGUACAGCAGUCCGGUACUCGUCCACCCGUGGGUGGGCAGUAAAAAUCCGGCUGACAUGGGGACAAUCCGCAGGGAAGGUCCAAUCUGUAAUGGAAACCCUCAGAGACUUGACGUUCAGGAUUGAUCGAUGAAGCUUGACAGUCAGUGGAUCACAGGAUUCGUGGACGGUGAAGGAUGCUUCCACGUCGGGAUAAACCCACAUCCCGACAUGAAGACCGGCUUUCAGGUUCUGCCUGAAUUCACCGUUGUACAGCACGAACGCGAUGUGCAGGUGUUGCACGCUAUGAAAAGCCACUUCGGGUGCGGCGUGGUUCGCAGCAACCACGGCGACCGGAUGGCCUAUCGGGUGCGCAGCAUCGAGCAUUUGCUCGGUCGCAUCGUUCCAUUCUUUGUCAAGCACCCGCUGAAGACCAGAAAGCGGAUCGCGUUCGAGAAGUUUCGGCGCGUUCUGCUGCUGAUGGAAGCGGGCGAGCAUCUGACCGACGAAGGCGUUGAUCGGAUACGCCAGAUCGCCGGCCAGAUGAAUAGAGGUCAAUCAAGGUAAAGUCCGGCCCGCUUGGAAACAGGUGGGAUCAUCCGAGCGAAAUUCCUUGUCGGGUAAGUUCCGACCUGCACGAAUGGCGCAACGAUUUGGGCACUGUCUCAACCAGGGACUCGGCGAAAUUGCAAUGUGAGUAAAGAUGCUCACUACCUGCGGCAGGACGGUAAGACCCCGGAACCUUUACUGUAGCUUGGCAUUGGAGUCUGGCGUGUAAUGUGCAGGAUAGGUGGGAGACUAGGAAGCGGAGGCGCAAGCCUCCGUGGAGUCAACCUUGGAAUACCACCCUUUGUACGACGGGCUUCUAACCCGGGUCCGUAAUCCGGAUCGGGGACAGUGUCUGGCGGUCAGUUUCACUGGGGCGGUGGCCUCCUAAAGCGUAACGGAGGCGCCCAAAGGUUCCCUCAGUCUGGUCGGCAAUCAGACGACGAGUGUAAAGGCACAAGGGAGCUUGACUGUGAGACCUACAAGUCAAACAGGGACGAAAGUCGGGCUUAGUGAUCCCAUGGUGGCACGUGGGUGCGCCAUGGCUCAUCGGCUAAAAGGUACUCCGGGGAUAACAGGCUAAUCACGCCCAAGAGUCCAUAUCGACGGCGUGGUUUGGCACCUCGAUGUCGGCUCGUCGCAUCCUGGGGCUGGAGCAGGUCCCAAGGGUCGGGCUGUUCGCCCGUUAAAGCGGCACGCGAGCUGGGUUUAGAACGUCGUGAGACAGUUCGGUCCCUAUCCGCCGCAGGCGCAGGAGACUUGAGGGGAGCUGUCCCUAGUACGAGAGGACCGGGAUGGACGUACCUCUGGUGUGCCAGUUGUUCUGCCAAGAGCACGGCUGGUUAGCUACGUACGGACGGGAUAAGCGCUGAAGGCAUCUAAGUGCGAAGCCCACCCCAAGAUGAGGUCUCCCACGGGUAUUACCCGGUAAGGCCCCUGGCAGAACACCAGGUUGAUAGGCCGGAAGUGUAAGCGCAGCAAUGUGUUCAGCUGACCGGUACUAAUAGGCCGAGGGCUUGGACA
rnacentral:rRNA from 1 species